CUUCCCCGGAUGACAGCUUGGCAGAGCCCCGGACUUUUUAAUAUUGCAACGUGCGUCAACUCCAGCAGGGGGUUAAGAGUUCCUUAAUCCCCCACGAAAAGCCGAACCCUGGCUUGGCGACGGUCCGCAGGGCGGCCGGGGAAGUGUGUGUGGGGGUGAGUUGGAGAGAGCGGCCAAGCGCGGUCACCCUACCCGGCCGCGGCUCCCCGGACGCGGGCACGGAGGCGGACCCGAUGCCCACACCCAGAGCUGGGCUGUCACCGGAUCUAUCCGCUUGGAACAGGUGCGGGGCGAGCCCAACGCCCGAGCCCCGCGCUGCGCCCCCGAAAAGCCCCGCGCGCCCCGGGCCGCCCUCCUCGGCCCCGCCGCGGCCCAGCGGCGCCCCGCUAAGAAGACCCCCCACUCUGCACUCCCCGCUCAUUCCGUUGGUCUCCCUCUUGUCCCCCCCACCCCCGGCAAAGCCCCCUACGAAGCGACUCGGAGCAGAAGUUCAGGCUCGGGGAAACCGAGACGGGUCUUGCGCGCAGCCCCGACUCAUCCCCCUCACCCCGGCACCCCCGGAGGCGACCGCGGGUGGUGAUGGAUCGCGCGGGGGUCGGGGAUCUGGGGGGGUCGGGGGGCCAGGGGGGGUAUGCGCCCACCCACCCCGCCGGGGCCGCCUACCUGCGUGGGACAUGGUGAUGGUCUCGUUGGUGCUGGAGCCCACGUUGAAGAUGACCACGGCCGAGGCGUUCUGCAGGAACGCGUUCCGGAUCUUCUCCCGGGUCUCCAAAUGAAUUGGAAAAUUGCUGGGGAAUUCAAGUUCAGAAACCACCCCUUCCAUGGCCUCUGCUCUUCUUCCUUUGACUGAGUAUGAGGUUUGGGUCACACCCUACGGUGCUCAGGGAUUACUCCUGGCUCUGUGCUCAGGGAUCAUUCCUGAUCCUGCUGCUUGGGGAAGAGCAUGUGUGGUGCUGGUGAUCGAGCCUGGGUUGGUCAUGGGUGAGGCUGGCGCCCUAUCCACUGUACUAUCUCUCCAGCCUUUCGUGUCUAUUCUAAAAAUACUAUUGGCAACGGUCUUCUCAGGAUGCAGUGAGUUAAAAGCAAAAUUGUGAUUGACGGCAGGAGUUUCCUGUUCAUUCUCCACGGCUGCAUUGCCACACUCAGAGUCCAGCCAAUACUCAACACGCUGCUAAGGAAUGAAAGAGGCAGAUGUGCUGAAUCGGUGUGUUAUCUAAUUCAUCAAGUCAUCUUUUCAUACUUGCAUGAGACUUCAAGGCCUAGCUUUAUGUUUGAACCUAUUUAACUAACAUUGUUAUAGAAAUAAUUUAAGAAGAUACUGAAGAGAAAUGUUUUUCUUAAAAGGACUUUUGUAUGGGGGCCCGAGAGAUAGCACAGGGGUUAAGCUUUGGUCUUGCCUGUAGAUGACCCUGAGGUGAAUCCUGGCACUGUAUAUGGUCCCCUGAGAAGGACUGGGCGCAGCCCUUGAGGUCCGUGUAAUUCCCGCACUGCAGGCUAACAGCAGCACACCCUCGGGUCCUUACAGUGAGACACCAGCUCUGUUGAUGGAAGAUGGUCAGGCAGGACCUCAGGGCUUCCUGAGUGAGCACCACUUGAGAGACUCCCCAAAACAAGCAAGACAAUUUUUUAAAAAAAAUCUUCCACAAAAUUAUUUGAAAUACAUUUCUCUAGUAAGGUUGAUAAUCUGGGAGAACUGAAAAAUGGCAAACUUAUCGGAAGGGAAGUUGUAACUUACCUAAUUUAACGGUUGACCUUCAAAUAGGAUGGAAUGGAAAUGAGGGAAAUAUCUCAAGGGGCGGAGGAAUGCAUGCCCUGCAUGUGAAAGGUCCUGAGUUUGAUCCCCACUGCUGCAUUCCACCUCUGACCCCCCAGCACCAGUUGAUGUGGCCUCCAACCCUGUAGCACCUCCCCAGCCGAGCCCUGAGCAGUCAUACAAUCUGGCCGUGGCACUGGGUCCCACCUCCCAACGCUGUUGGAAAUACAGGACCACAAAGACAAAGUAGAAUGGAAUAAUCCCAGCACCAUAAGAGAGUUUAGUUAGCUGGCUUCAUUAAUUUAUUUGAACUUCUGUGACUUCAUGUUUGCCAAGCAUUCUCAACUUUACAGGCAAAGAAAUGAUGUUCUUAAUCCUUGUAACAUUUGUAUUGACAAAUAAUUUGAUAUCCCCUCAGGAAGACAAUAUGUUCUCGUGGUAAAAUGAAGUUCUUCACAGAAAAUCUCUUUAAUAUACCAGCUUCAAAUUUCAUUCUGCCACAAAAAGGUGUACCAGUGGAUCCAGUGAACGGCGAUCACUGGGAAAUCUUUCAUUCUCGAAGCAUUCAUGCUACGUCUCCUUUUUCUGAUGGGCAAAUCACACAACUACCAGGGGAAGGAGGAGAUUCAGCUCAGUCAUAUGACAAGAAAACAGAGAAUUCCUUGCCCACAUCUGUGUGCUUGGAGAUGCAUGAAGGGAAUAAUGAGUGCUGAGAGGCAGCUCUGUCCUGGAAGACUGAUCCUGGUUGUUGGAAGGAAGGAAGGUCACGUGGGCCUCUCACCUCACCUUGUCACUCUAAAUAUGGCACAUCAAGAAUCACCAAGAGGCGCUCUCUCCGCCCAGACGAGAUUCAAAGCAGCCGCACACGAAAUGGCUCCUUUGCUCCUAAAAGACUAAGAUCCCAGCGGCCUAACCACUAAUUCUUGGCCUUUUCUUUUGGCAACUUUUGGCAGAUAUCUCUCUGGACUUAAUUACUAAAAUAUUAGAAAUUCAAAACUGCACAGCCACUGUUGCGGCCGCGUGAGCUCAUGUAUUCUUUAUUCUCAGCAAUGGAAAACAAACUAUCAAAUGAUGCCUUUUCAGGAGGUUUGAUUGUUGGGGGGAAAGUCCAAAUAAUAAUAGUGAGUUCUCUGUUGAAAUAUUGAAUGUAUUCAAAGUAUAGAGAGAAUAAAGU